GAUAAACGCUGGCGGCAUGCCUAAUACAUGCAAGUCGAACGAAGGUACUUGUACCUUAGUGGCGAACGGGUGUGUAACACGUAUCUAAUCUACCUUUUAGUGGGGGAUAGCCUUUGGAAACGAAGGGUAAUACCGCAUGAGAUCACCAUUAUGACAUCAGAAGGUGAGGAAAGGUCCGCUUGGACCGCUAAAAGAUGAGGAUGCGGCGUAUAGCUAGUAGGUGAGAUAAAAGCCCACCUAGGCAAUGAUACGUAGCCGAACUGAGAGGUUGAUCGGCACAUUGGGACUGAGAUACGGCCAGACUCCUACGGGAGGCAGCAGUAGGGAAUUUUUCACAAUGGACGAAAGUCUGAUGAAGCAAUGCCGCGUGAGUGAUGAAGGUCUUCGGAUUGUAAAACUCUGUUGUAGGGGAAGAAAUGACAGAAGAGGAAAUGCUUUUGUUUGACG
rnacentral:rRNA from 1 species